UCACUUAAAAAACAUAUGUCUAUAUUAAGCUUUUUUAGGUGAAAUUCAAGGAAGUUUUUGUUUUUUGUUAAACUUUGUACGUUGUAUUGUAGUAGAUUCAUAUUAAUUUAUUUAUUUAUUAAAAAUUGCAGGAUGUGAGUCGUCUGUGGGGACUGUGAUUUUGGUUCCUGUUAAUAAGCUGCUUGUUGCAAAUGGGAGCAGUGACUGCUGGAAACUUUUUAGUACAUUUAAGCCUUCUGUGCUAUUAAGAGAUAGAAAUUAUCUUGGCUGAAGGUGGGUUUGGAAGGCGAUAUUUGGAUUGGAUCGGCAAUGGCGUGACGUAUUUGGAUUCUGGGUGAAGCAACUUGGCUAUAUUUUGUUUUUGUAACUCUUUUGUUUAUUUCCUCAUAAACACUUCUUUUUGGUGCA
rnacentral:sRNA from 1 species